rnacentral:lncRNA from 1 species
AUAAUCGAUUAUUCACUGACCGUUGCCAAAGUAUCUUUAAACGCUGAAAGAUAAUCAAUUAUGCACAAGGCAAUAAUCGAUUAUGCUAGCUUAAAAUCUGCAUAUGAUUUUUGAACGAUUUGCAGAUAAUCGAUUACGCAAAUCAGAUAAUCGAUUAUUCUAGCAUAAAAUCAGCAAUUAGUGAUUGGCAAUUAAGCAACGGUCUUUGGGUCUUUGAGGACUAUUAAUACACCUCAAAACCACUCUUUUAAGUACAAC